UAUCGGGGCUGGUAUCAGGUGGUAUCGGGGCUGGUAUCAGGUGGUAUCGGGGCUGGGUAUCGGGCUGGUAUCAGGUGGUAUCGGGGCUGGUAUCAGGUGGUAUCGGGGCUGGUAUCAGGUGGUAUCGGGGCUGGUAUCGGGGCUGGUAUCGGGGCUGGUAUCAGGUGGUAUCGGGGCUGGUAUCAGGUGGUAUCGGGGCUGGUAUCAGGUGGUAUCAGGUGGUAUCGGG